rnacentral:rRNA from 1 species
GAUGAACGCUAGCGACAGGCUUAACACAUGCAAGUCGAGGGGUAGCAGGGGGUAGCAAUACUUUGCUGACGACCGGCGCACGGGUGAGUAACACGUAUGCAACUUACCUAUCAGAGGGGGAUAACCCGGCGAAAGUCGGACUAAUACCGCAUAAAACAGGGGUCCCGCAUGGGAAUAUUUGUUAAAGAUUUAUUGCUGAUAGAUAGGCAUGCGUUCCAUUAGGCAGUUGGCGGGGUAACGGCCCACCAAACCGACGAUGGAUAGGGGUUCUGAGAGGAAGGUCCCCCACAUUGGUACUGAGACACGGACCAAACUCCUACGGGAGGCAGCAGUGAGGAAUAUUGGUCAAUGGGCGCGAGCCUGAACCAGCCAAGUCGCGUGAAGGAUGAAGGUUCUAUGGAUUGUAAACUUCUUUUAUGGGGGAAUAAAGUGCAGGACGUGUCCUGUUUUGUAUGUACCCAACGAAUAAGCAUCGGCUAACUCCGUGCCAGCCGCCGCAGUAA